rnacentral:rRNA from 1 species
CGGUUAAAAAGCUCGUAGUUGGAUUUCUGUUGGGAACGACCGGUCCGCCCAUUGGGUGUGUAUCUGGCUUGUUCUCGGCAUCUUCUUGGUGAACGUUGCUGCACUUGACUGUGUGGAGCGCUACCCAGGACUUUUACUUUGAGGAAAUUAGAGUGUUUCAAGCAGGCAUAUGCCUUGAAUACAUUAGCAUGGAAUAAUAGGAUAGGACCUCGGUUCUAUUUUGUUGGUUUCUAGAGCUGAGGUAAUGAUUAAUAGGGAUAGUUGGGGGCAUUCGUAUUUAACUGUCAGAGGUGAAAUUCUUGGACUUGUUAAAGACGGACUACUGCGAAAGCAUUUGCCAAGGAUGUUUUCAUUGAUCAAGAACGAAAGUUAGGGGAUCGAAGACGAUCAGAUACCGUCCUAGUCUUAACCAUAAACCAUGCCGACUAGAGAUUGGAGGUCGUUAUAUUUACGACUCCUUCAGCACCUUAUGAGAAAUCAAAGUCUUUGGGUUCCGGGGGGAGUAUGGUCGCAAGGCUGAAACUUAAAGGAAUUGACGGAAGGGCACCACCAGGAGUGGAGCCUGCGGCUUAAUUUGACUCAACACGGGGAAACUCACCAGGUCCAGACAUAGUAAGGAUUGACAGAUUGAUAGCUCUU